rnacentral:rRNA from 1 species
AGCAGUCCCACGGUAAUACGAAGGGGGCUAGCGUUGCUCGGAAUUACUGGGCGUAAAGGGAGCGUAGGCGGACAUUUAAGUCAGGGGUGAAAUCCCAGAGCUCAACUCUGGAACUGCCUUUGAUACUGGGUGUCUUGAGUGUGAUAGAGGUAUGUGGAACUCCGAGCGUAGAGGUGAAAUUCGUAGAUAUUCGGAAGAACACCAGUGGCGAAGGCGACAUACUGGAUCAUUACUGACGCUGAGGCUCGAGAGCGUGGGGAGCAAACAGGAUUAGAGACCCCAGUAGUCCCUGUCUCUUAUACA